GGCAUGGGAGGGUGAGUUGAGAGCUGUCUCCAUCGGUCCUCCCUACAGGAAGCCUGGCCCGAUGCCCCUCACGGUGCCUGCGAGGCCUUGGAAGGAGCCACAGCCUUGAGGGCCUGGUGAGGCCUCAGCAGCUCGUGGGAAGAGUCUACCAUCUCCAUCACUGUGCCCUGCCCAUAUCUUCUUUGUAACAGCCCUUCAGUAUGUGUGUGUAACUGCAGGUCGCCUAGUGACUGUGUGUAUGCAGAGCUCACUCAUCUUUGCGUCCUCGGGGCCCAGAACAAAAGCCAUGAAGUUUCUGAAAAGUAAGUAACAGUAAAUAUUCAAGUAUCUUAUUAAUUUUGUGUUCAUUAUAUUUCUCUCGUACUCAUUCAUU
rnacentral:lncRNA from 1 species